rnacentral:rRNA from 1 species
CGGGAGGCAGCAGUGAGGAAUAUUGGUCAAUGGGCGCGAGCCUGAACCAGCCAAGUCGCGUGAGGGAUGACGGUCCUACGGAUUGUAAACCUCUUUUGCCGGGGAGCAAGCGUGCGUUCGUGAACGCGCGUCGAGAGUACCCGGAGAAAAAGCAUCGGCUAACUCCGUGCCAGCAGCCGCGGUAAUACGGAGGAUGCGAGCGUUAUCCGGAUUUAUUGGGUUUAAAGGGUGCGUAGGCGGGAUGCCAAGUCAGCGGUAAAAAUGCGGUGCUCAACGCCGUCGAGCCGUUGAAACUGGCGUUCUUGAGUGGGCGAGAAGUAUGCGGAAUGCGUGGUGUAGCGGUGAAAUGCAUAGAUAUCACGCAGAACUCCGAUUGCGAAGGCAGCAUACCGGCGCCCUACUGACGCUGAGGCACGAAAGCGUGGGUAUCGAACAGGAUUAGAUACCCUGGUAGUCCACGCAGUAAACGAUGAAUGCUAACUGUCCGGCUCGAAUGAGCGCUGG